UGGGGAAUUUUCCGCAAUGGGCGAAAGCCUGACGGAGCAAUACCGCGUGAGGGAUGACGGCCUAUGGGUUGUAAACCUCUUUUUUCAGGGAGGAAUCAAUGACGUGUACCUGAAGAAUAAGCAUCGGCUAACUCCGUGCCAGCAGCCGCGGUAAGACGGAGGAUGCAAGUGUUAUCCGGAAUCACUGGGCGUAAAGCGUCUGUAGGUGGUUUAAUAAGUCAACUGUUAAAUCUUGAGGCUCAACCUCAAAAUCGCAGUCGAAACUAUUAGACUAGAGUAUAGUAGGGGUAAAGGGAAUUUCCAGUGGAGCGGUGAAAUGCGUAGAUAUUGGAAGGA
rnacentral:rRNA from 1 species